GACGUAGGGCGCGAGCGUUGUCCGGAUUUAUUGGGCGUAAAGAGCUCGUAGGCGGCUUGUCGCGUCGACUGUGAAAACCCGGGGCUCAACUCCGGGCCUGCAGUCGAUACGGGCUGGCUUGGGUGCGGUAGGGGAGACUGGAAUUCCUGGUGUAGCGGUGAAAUGCGCAGAUAUCAGGAGGAACACCAAUGGCGAAGGCAGCUCGCUGGGACGGUACUGACGCUGAGGCGCGAAAGCGUGGGGAGCAAACAGG
rnacentral:rRNA from 1 species